rnacentral:rRNA from 1 species
UACGUAGGGACCGAGCGUUGUCCGGAUUCAUUGGGCGUAAAGAGCUCGUAGGCGGCCACUCAAGUCGAAUGUGAAACCUCGAGGCUUAACCUCGAGCCUGCAUUCGAUACUGGGCGGCUAGAGUCUGGUAGGGGGAUCUGGAAUUCCUGGUGUAGCGGUGGAAUGCGCAGAUAUCAGGAGGAACACCGGUGGCGAAGGCGGGAUCCUGGGCCAGUACUGACGCUGAGGAACGAAAGCGUGGGGAGCGAACAGG